rnacentral:tRNA from 1 species
GCCAGCAUGGUGUAGUGGUUUGAGUGUUGGACUAUGACUAUGGAGACCAGGGUUCAAUUCCCAGCUCUGCCA